ensembl:lncRNA
CUUCAGUUGUAUCAUAAACAUGGUCUGGGGAACAUACACAGACCCAGGCCACGUCCUGCUGCAACAAGCCUGGGCCUCUGCAUUCUUCCAAGCAAAGAUCCACAGGACCAACUUCCAGAUGAUUCUGACACACCCCCAAGUGUGGGAACCGUUGAUCUAGGCCAUCCUGCCGAUUAUGGAAAGGAAGCUCAGAAGAUCAUUACCGCUGAUGCUUUGGUUGCAGAUUUUCUUAAAUGUCUGGUGAUCACUGAUGGGUUAUACAUACUUAAAAAUGAGGCCACAAAAAGCUGACUGAGAGCCCCUGUCGGUGGGUAGAGCUCGUCAUCUUGGGAGCCCUGUUUUUAGGAAGAUUAGCCCUGAGCUAACAUCCGUGCCCAUCUUCCUCAACUUUAUAUAUGGGAUACUUACCACAGCAUGGCUUGCCAAGCGGUGCCAUGUCCGCACCUGGGAUCCGAACCGGCGAACCCCGGGCCACUGAGAAGUGGAACGUAUGAACUUAAUUGCUGUGCCACCGGGCCGGCCCCUGGAGAUAAAGACUUAUAGUUGAGGAAGUAUGUGGACGUUGAGGCUCAGGUGUGGCUGUGCCUUCUGGUAGACACUGGGGUUGCCCAGGAUGACAGCAAGAAUCAAGGGUGGGGGAGGGAGGGAGAGACAGGAAGACAGAGGCAAAGUCCUCCAUGAAUCCCAGGUAGUGGAAUGGCCUCGAGAUGGGGAGCUGGCAUGGACCUCAGGGAGGAGCAGCAUGGGAGGGUGGCGUGCUUCCAGAACGCUGAGGCCACGAGGAGCCAGCAAUACCCAAUGCCUGCCCAGCCCAGAGAUAUGGGAAGUUCCCAUGCAAGAGGAAUGGGGGUAAAGGUCAUGCUCAGAGCAGGACAAGGCCCCCGUCAGGGAAAGGAAGGAAGUGGGUGGUGUGUGUGUGUGUGAAGAGGUGGGGGAUGUGGGCAAGUUUCUCUCCGGUAAAACAAGUUUCCGAGGGCAAAUGGGAGACUUUGAGCCACGGGAGGCAUUAACUGGAACAUGGAUGAAAGCUCAGGAGCUGGUGGGACCCGAGCAGCUUGCACUUUAGACUGAGGAGGCCCAGGACUCUACACGUGGGUGGAUUAACUUGUUUUCAGAUUCUGAUUGGGACAUUAUGGGAAGUUGCUCAGAAGCCAGAAGUGACAUGGGGCCCCAAGAGUUUGCUGGGACCUUGACUUUGUCGGUUGCUGAGGUCGUUUAUACACCAACAGAGAAAUUGAGGCAGUUCUGUUGUUGCAACAGAACUUGCCUCUGGCUGUGUGGCCUCAUUCGGGCUGGAGAGCCUGUGCAGAAGUGGGGGGGGGGCGGGGAGAGGCCAGAUGCACGCCCCCAUCACUGCCACUGGGCCUGGACCCCACAGCUGUCGCCUCUAACCCUGGACACAUGCUCUAAUGGUUGUGUUUGCAAAAAGAAUAUACAAUUAGAACCGUUUAAAAAACAUAAACACCUAGUAGCAUCUAAUUGAUUUUUAAAAACUAAUCUUUAACUAUACUCAAAUAUUUCUUAACCUAACAUUCAGGCCCCAAAAGAGAACAGCCUCACAGGAAAAAAUUUUUAAAAACCUUGUUUCUCUCUUGGAUUUUGACCUUGCUCUAAUAAGCCAGGGAGCUGCCUUUGGCAUCUUACCUAAGGAAACAGCUCGACUUCCCAUCUGAGUUCCUAGUAAGGCAUCUCAGUUUAUUCUCCCCCUUGCAGUAAAGCCUACAGGAGGUAAAGGGCAGCUGGGUACCCGGACGCCCGUGUUUUCCAGAAGGAAGGCGCUCUCCCUCCUUUGAAACCCUGUCAGGCUCUCCCUCCCUCAGCUCUUUGGCCGUGGGGUGUUUAUGGAUGGAGUUGCUGCGUCUACAGAGAUCACCCUCCUUAAAAACAGUCUCUCAGGAUCCCAGCUGGUUCCGAACCUACUUGUGAUCAUAGAGGAACGGGAUGGGCCACUGCCACACUGCCAGCCGAACCUAAUCUUCAUGCCUUUUAGACUGGGCGGCAGGACGUUCCCUCACCUUGGCUGCCAACUGGCGCCCGCGUGCAGCCUCUGUUCCCCGGGCCCCCACUGUCCUGUGUCCACCCAGGUCACCAGGC